GUCUGCGUAGAUACCACCUUGAUUAUGACCAAUCACCUCUGAUCUCAGAAGCUAAGCAGGGUAGGGCCUGGUUAAUACUUGGAUGCAAGUAGAGAGUUGAUUGUGUAAAGC
rnacentral:rRNA from 1 species